AGAGUUUGAUCCUGGCUCAGGAUAAACGCUGGCGGCGCACAUAAGACAUGCAAGUCGAACGAACUUAACCAUUAGUUUACUAUUGGAGCGGUUAGUGGCGGACUGGUGAGUAACACGUAAGCAACCUGCCUAUCAGAGGGGAACAACAGUUAGAAAUGACUGCUAAUACCGCAUAUGCCUUAGAAUCACAUGGUUCAAAGGGGAAAGGAGCAAUCCGCUGAUAGAUGGGCUUGCGUCUGAUUAGCUAGUUGGUGGGGUAACGGCCUACAAGGCGACGAUCAGUAGCCGAACUGAGAGGUUGAACGGCCACAUUGGGACCGAGAUACGGCCCAGACCUCCGUACGGGAGGCA
rnacentral:rRNA from 1 species